UACGUAGGGUGCGAGCGUUGUCCGGAAUUAUUGGGCGUAAAGAGCUCGUAGGCGGUUUGUUGCGUCUAUCGUGAAAACCUGCAGCUUAACUGUGGGCUUGCGGUGGAUACUGGCAGACUUGAGUUCGGUAGGGGAGACUGGAAUUCCUGGUGUAGCGGUGAAAUGCGCAGAUAUCAGGAGGAACACCGGUGGCGAAGGCGGGUCUCUGGGCCGAUACUGACGCUUAGGAGCGAAAGCGUGGGGAGCGAACAGG
rnacentral:rRNA from 1 species